rnacentral:lncRNA from 1 species
AUGCGUACACCACAACGUAUCCCAGAUGAUGGUUCCUCAUGCAUACGUACACCACAACAUAUCCCAGAUGAUGGUUCUGCGUGCGUAGGUACACCACAACGUAUCCCAGAUGAUGGUUCUGCGUGCGUAGGUACACCACAACAUAUCCCAGAUGAUGGUUCUGCGUGUGUACGUACACCAAAACGUAUCCCAGAUGAUGGUUCUGCGUGCGUAGGUACACUAAAACGUAUCCCAGAUGAUGGUUCUGCGUGCGUAGGUACACCACAACAUAUCCCAGAUGAUGGUUCUGCGUGCGUAGGUACACCACAACAUAUCCCAGAUGAUGGUUCUGCGUGCGUAGGUACACCACAACAUAUCCCAGAUGAUGGUUCUGCGUGCGUAGGUACACCAAAACGUAUCCCAGAUGAUGGUUCUGCGUGCGUAGGUACACCACAACAUAUCCCAGAUGAUGGUUCUGCGUGCGUAGGUACACCACAACAUAUCCCAGAUGAUGGUUCUGCGUGUGUAGGUACACCAAAACAUAUCCCAGAUGAUGGUUCUGCGUGCGUAGGUACACCACAACGUAUCCCAGAUGAUGGUUCUGCGUGCGUACGUACACCAAAACGUAUCCCAGAUGAUGGUUCUGCGUGCGUAGGUACACCACAACAUAUCCCAGAUGAUGGUUCUGCGUGCGUAGGUACACCACAACAUAUCCCAGAUGAUGGUUCUGCGUGUGUAGGUACACCAAAACAUAUCCCAGAUGAUGGUUCUGCGUGCGUAGGUACACCACAACAUAUCCCAGAUGAUGGUUCUGCGUGUGUAGGUACACCAAAACGUAUCCCAGAUGAUGGUUCUGCGUGCGUAGGUACACCACAACAUAUCCCAGAUGAUGGUUCUGCGUGUGUAGGUACACCACAACAUAUCCCAGAUGAUGGUUCUGCGUGCGUACGUACACCAAAACGUAUCCCAGAUGAUGGUUCUGCGUGCGUAGGUACACCACAACGUAUCCCAGAUGAUGGUUCUGCGUGCGUACGUACACCAAAACGUAUCCCAGAUGAUGGUUCUGCGUGCGUAGGUACACCACAACAUAUCCCAGAUGAUGGUUCUGCGUGCGUAGGUACACCGCAAGUACAACUAUCUCACCUUAAUAUAGCAUUUAGGUGCCCUAAUACUAGUUGA